AGCUGUCACAGUUGAUAUCAAAUCAAUUUGCUGGGAAAAGCAAGCAUUCAAUGAGUCUCUUCUUGUUUAAAAUGCAUCACUGAUAUGCUAUUGGGGAGGUCCCAAUUAUUAAUUAAUCAUUUCAACAAAUUUGCUAUGAUAAGCAUAUUACACUCAGAAUAGUCAUUUCUUAUAUCCUGAAAAAGAAUGGAAGACAUGAGGUGAGUUCUUAGGAGACUCUGGCAGUAGUUCUCCUAAUUUUAAUGUUAGAAAAUAUAAGCUAGUAACAGCAGAAAGUUGGAUUAUUCUUGAUAAAUUGAAGAUGUAAUGACAAAGAGUGACACAAGGAGGCAACAUAAAGUCUGACAGCAGGAUUCUUUACCAAAGUGCCUUUCUACGCCCAUAGGAAAAUCAACCAAGUUAAAGAUAACUAGCAUAAAAUUAAGGACAUUGGUUAUUAAGGUUACAGAAGACUGUACACCGCACAAACCACAAACUUUACAGAUGUGACUACUUGAUACUUUGAUUUAUGCCUCUAUUUCAGCAUCUCCCAACAGGUUACGAUAUGCAAAAGAAUGAACUCCAGAAUGGUAUCUUGAAUGCUUUCUAUUCUGCUAUAUUUAUUCUAGGGUUUGUUUGGUGUCUUUUCAUGAUCAAGGAUCAAAGAUCUCAAUUAAUCUUUUACCAUCAAUUUAUGUUGACUACAGAGUUACUUGCUUCUGUCAUCAAAAUGUCUUUGAAGUUUGCUGUUUGCUUUUUAUGUGUCAAUAUUCUGCAAUUUUUGCUCUAUUUGCAUCUAUGUGAAAUGGCCUUUAAAACUUUGCUGCCUCUUAUUCUGCAAGCAAAGUAAAAGGGACUAAAAGUG
rnacentral:lncRNA from 1 species